rnacentral:misc_RNA from 1 species
UAUAGUCUAGUAUCCAAAUAAAUAUUCCAUGGCGCGGAAUUUGUGCUUACAAAUUGUGUUGGUUUAGCCAUUUAAUUUUUGAGGUUCUACCCGUGAUAAAGUUAAAUACUUAGGUUUGUUUCGGAACGUAUUUACAAAUUGUACUACCGGUGUAUAUGGAUAAUUGUAUUGGAAUUGUUGAGGGGUCUAUGACCCCACCUAUCUCCCCACGCCAUUUGGAGUGCUGGUAUGAUGAUCUGGUAGAUGAAUCUUUAUUGAUACAUCAUGAUGAAUUACUAGUAGGUGAUGUUGCACCAUCCUGUAUAUUUACUGAUUGCAGCGAUGCAGAUUCAGCAUACAACAGUGAAUGGAAAGCUUGUAAUACUGGGCACCUUCAUUGUCAAGUUCUUGCAAAAAUUCUGAGCAGUUUGGAUCCACACCCAAGUCUGUUUCAAGACACAAAGUGCAAGCUUUUUGGAAGUCACUUUGUCACUUCCUCUGGUUUGCUGGAUUCUACAUGUCUCAUUUUCUCCCUCGCAAAGCAGAAGAUAGGAAAACUUAAAUUAUCCUUGGAGAUGUUGGCACACAAAACUUCAACAGAUUCGGACAUCUCUGACUCCGCUAGCUUGAAGCACACCUGUGUUGUAUUCUUACAGUAUUUGAAAGUAUUUAUUCAUAGGCAUUACAAGUUUGAUGAAACAUCAGGAUGCAGGUACAACCAAAGACUCAACAACUUGCAUCCUAUUUUACUACAAGAGAUGGAGGGCCUGUCAAAUUACCUAGGCAAGGUUGCUGAUCUUCCAUCUAAUGUUCUCUCCCAGUACAUUUCAUCAGGACUAAAGAAGCAAAGUAUUGCUUACUUGGUCUUACACAUUGUCUUGAAUGUCAGAUGGGGUUUGAUAGAAUCCUUACACAUGCUUUACAGCAAAACAAAAGGCACAAUAGCGGAGAAUGAUGUCAACAACCUUUUAACGGCAGAAGUCAACAUAUUCAUAAAUGAUAUUGUAUAUAUUGCAAGAUUGCGAUUCAACUCAAUUUCAAGAAAGGACUUGAAGAAUGUGUCACCUUUUCCUUGUCCGUGUUUGCAAGAGUUUGUCAUUAUGCUUAUUCAUUUCCUAGAUCAACGUCAAUCUAAGUUUGGGACAGAAUCAUUUUGGUUUAUGUUUCAUGCAGCACUUGAAGCAAAUGCUGGGUUAAAUAAAAAAGGGAAUAUAGACCUAUGUUGGUGGCUACUGAUCCACAUAUCACCACUGUACAAGUACAAUCAAAAUGGUGAACUUCAAAAAUCCUCUACUUGUGUUCGCAGUAAUUGGCUGAUGGUUGGAGACCUUCUCAAGAUGACAUUUUCUCAAGAGUUAGGGCUUGAUGAAGAAUGUAUCCGAGUCCAUCUGCAGUGCUGUUUGUCCCUGUGUCAUGUUUGGGAGCCAAGCUCAAAGACAUUAGCUACCUUAUGGCAGUACAGUCACAAGAGAAUGAAUCAAGCAUUACUUAAGACAGAAAGAUCUCUUGAUGGUUUAGCAUCAAUAAGUAAAUCAGCACUGGGGUGGUUUGAUCAAACUAAACAAAGGGCAGCUGACCACACAGCCAGUCAAGACUCGGAUAACAGUUUUCAUCUUUUCCUGCGAAUCAUUGCUGUCCAGUUUGGGAAAAUGGAAGGCACAGAAAAGUUGCAAGGAUGGAAGCAACUCAAAGGAAGGUUGUAUUCCAAGUUCCAUAGUCGUAGUAUGCAGGAGCUCAAUAACAAUGGUUUGAGCCAUUUCAUCAGUCUUUUUCUGGUUUUAGCACAAACUGUGGAUUUAUCAGAUGCGAGUCACAAGAUGUUGGAUCUAUUGGAUAUGCUGUCAACAAAUUCAAUAUCUCAGAGCAAGCAACUUCUUAUUUGGAAAGGCUUGUUCACAUUAUGUCUAGUGCAUCAGGAAAAGCAGAAGGAUAUAUCAUUUAUCACUGAGAAACUCGUAUCAGCUUUUGACAACGUUUGCAGUGAGUUUUGCCACAAAGAUAAUGAUCUUAGUCAGCACCAUCACUUGUGGACACUAAUAACCUUAUACACAGAUGCGACUCAAGAUGUAUUUGACAACAGCAGCAACAACUUGUGUCUAUCAGAAGAAAAGCUAAUAGGCUCAGGAUUUUGUCAUCUCUUCCCAGCAUGUAAUGAGUCUGAAUUGAGGACCAUGCUUCAGUUCACAUUAAACCUGAUGGCAUGUCAAAGAAAUGUAUAUAGACGGUUAUGUCAGUCAGCUGGGAGUAACUUACUAACACAAGAACAACCAAAGAUAAACUUGCUGCAACAACAAGCAGAUUUAGUUCAACGACUGUGGACCAAUUUCUUUCCGUUUGUGAAGUCAACCUCGGCAAAUCCUAAACCAAGUUGUUUGCUUGCUGAUGUUGCUGCCAGUUUCACCAUGCUAGCAUCAGAUAUGGAAGAGAAUUCAACAGAACCACCAGAAAAAGUGUUGGAUAUAUUCAAUUAUUUUGGUGUAUCGGACACAACUGUACAUUCAAGUAUCUCAAUGCGCUACCUUUGUCAUAUUUUACCAAAUGCUGCUCUCAUGCAAAAAAUAGAGAAUCACCAUGGCACAGGCUACGAAGCUGCUGUCAUUCAUGCUUGGGUCAGGUGCUCAAUCUUGAGCAAUCAGAAGGCAGAUGAGCAACAGGAAUUCACUCGGCUGAUAUACAAAAUUCCAAGCAUGGCUGCCAUGGUGGAAGACAGAGGACAAUUAAACACAAAUGUGCCUGAAUUUGCCCAGUUUGUCCGGUAUUUAGGACAACGCUUCACCUCAGCACAGAACCUACAAGAGAAAAUACUGUUUCGCAAGAACACUCUGCAAGUGUUUGGUGACUUGGUGAAGCUCAUUCAGUUUGCUUUGAAGAAGUUUAAUGCAGCAGGCGGUGAACUCAAGUGGUUAUACCAAACCAUAGGCUACACAGUCAGAUAUUGCGCCCCUGUUCUCUAUGUUCAGAGCAAACCACACCAAUCACAGUUGCCAGGGUUGCUGAGUGAAUUACUGCUACCUCCGCUAAUCUUCAACCCCAACAAGACACUGCCAACAAAUAUGCUGAAUGCUAUAAAAGAAACGCUACACUUGUUUCUAGAGGGUCUGUCUACGCUGGACUUUCAGAAAGAUGGGUUCAUUCGACAGAAAAUGCAAGAAAUCAUCCAACAAUAUUUUGUUCGGUUUGCAACAAAAUGCUCCAUAAUGGCAAAUAGUAACAGUGUGACAGUUAAUCAUCCCUUAUUGGUUACACUGUAUCCAUCUCAACUAUGUCAUCCUACAGUACAGAUGAGCAAUUUACGACAGUUCAUGAUUGAAGUUUUGAGAGUACGUUUCAUGGUUCUGAAAGGCCAGCAGGCUCCAAGUCAAGCUUCUAAUGCACUUCAUUUUGUCCAAGAGUUAUUUAACAGAACAUUAGUAUCAGGUGAAACAGCAAGGAACACCCCACCUUUAUUAGGGACUAUAUUGAAUUAUUUGUUAAUGUGUGACAAUGGUGGUCUCAAAAGACAGGCAUCACAGAUUUUAGUGUCCAUGCUGGAAGCCUGCAAGAGCAAUGCUAAUAUGAAUCUCAACGAAGAGCUAUCUACUGUGCUGCAUACUUUUGUGGAUCGCAAUCUUCUUGUUCACCAGUCUUCCACCUUCCAAGUGCUGGAGAGUGUUGCUGCCCUUUACCCUGCAUUGUUGGAGGAUAUGAUUCCUUAUUUAAAUGAGAAGCUGGCCAAAUGUGAGAUGAAGAGAGGUGUUGGAACUGAUAAUAAACUCAGGAGGACCUAUAAAUCAUUGUUGACACAUCUAGGCCAACGAGGUCAGGCUACCAUAAACCAAAUCGAACAAGGCAGAGAGGUGUUAGAAUAUUGAUUCGAUGUGUUAGUCAAGAGAGAACAAGCACCUUCGUAUUGUAAAUUCAAUGUGAGCAUGAAGUGCAAUAUUGAUUAUCCUCUCAUCAGAGGUAAUAUCUCACCAUUGAACUUCAAAUUUUAUUCCCAACUUGGUUCAUUUCCUGAUUGUCUUUAACACGCCUUGACACAUCCUCUCCAAAAAGCAUAUCGGCGAGCAAAGAUGUAGAUGAUCCUUCUUCAAGUCAGAUUUCAUACAAUCCCGCCUUCUUUUAAAUUCAAAUUCCGAUAUGCAUUAGCCAGGAAGGGUCAAGGACCCUUUGGGUAUCUAUCAAUUAUGGGCAAUCCUUAUAGUUUGCUAUUUCAUUGACUAAGUAGGCCAAACAAGUCGAACCUCUUACCAGGCCAGUUAUUACGUCUAAAACCAACUUGUCUACUCUUUGACAUUUGAUAGAUGAUUGCAAUUUUCAGAUUUAUUUGUCUUUUUUGUGAAAUCAGUGUUUUUGUCCUCACUUGUACUCUCACAAAAGAGUGUAUUUUUAAUGGCAGCCAGAUCUUUGUAUAUGUUUACACCACAUUGUUCCUUAUCAAGGAAUUUCCCAACCAUAUCUAUAAACACGCUUGGGAAGACUAGCCAACCGCACAUCAGGAGGGUCACUCUCUAUGGGCUCCAUGACCUCCAUAUCAUUUGGUGCAUACUCAUAACAAAAGUUUUCAAGGUCUUCUAACCUAGACCCAAACUGCUGUUGGCCUUCUAGAAUGUUGGAUAAAAUUUUCAGAAUGGCUGCCAUUUUAGAUUUCUUAAGCCUAUAAUGAGUGUUAGUAGCAAUUCCAAUUGAACUACUAGCCACACGCUAGCACUAGGCAUAGACUCGAAAGAAUUAGGAUCAGCAGCACUGUCCAACUUUUAUUUGGCAAUUUUCGUAGGCCUAGAGAUUGGUGUGGUAGCAACGUCCACGAGUCUGUGGCCUAUAAAUUCAUCUGACGCCUUGAUUGUACAAUCGUAAAAUCUACCGGUACCUAUAUUAACCGGAUAGAAUAAACCCUUGAUAUUUACUGGUUGUAUUUAAAAAAACAGUUCACACUAUAGUGCCACCUAAUUAUAAAAUUUGAAAAAUGAAGCUUAACAAAAAACAUCCAUACCAUGUACAGCAAUUUUAUGUUGCUAACUGUGCACAUAUGCUUUAAUAUCUCAUGGGAUCCCUGAGUGUAUGAUGACAUACCUGUAAUAGAGUUGAAAAGUUAACAGAAAUAGGUCAGGCCACCUUAAACAAAUAGGAAUGACUUCUGCUGCAAGUGAAGUUUAUUGAUCAGAAACAGCAAACCAGUUUAAACAUAACAUGCACUUUCGAUAAUGGUCAAGGAGGUAGUUUCUUCCGUUAGCUCUCAGUGGCUGCAAAUGGAGGUGUGGUGGGUUGAGGUGGUGGUAAUUGCCUAGCAGGACAACCACACAGUGCAAACUCCACUUUGGAAAUACUUGAAUAAUCAAUAGGGACCUCUCCUAUUGUUUCGAAAGUCUGAUAGGAUGAUACCUAGAAUAACAGUCAGUGGCGUAAUGCAGGGACCCCAACCUUUAGGGGCCCCUAAACAUAGGGUCCUCGUCCUGGAUCUAGCACCUGGACACAAAGGGCCGCGAGGAACCAGUCUGAAUCUUAAGGUCCCUUAGAGACUCAGAACUAAUCAACUACUGUAGGCCUAAUCUAUCUACUCAUCUUCAGUAGGAGUGCCCCUGAGAAUCACUAUCGCUGAGAAGGGGGUCUGACGGGACCAGUGCCCCUGGCCCGGGACAAAACAAAAAAUCAAUAACGUUAAUAAUAUAGAAAACAAUAUUUUGAUCUACGUCUGAAAUUGUUUGAAUUAGGAAUUCUGAGCCCCACUAAGUACUUUUGCCAGCCUCCAGACCCCAAAUCUGGGGGACCUGCUAAGCAUGCCUAAAAUCAUUUGAUUGAUUGAUUUAAAGAAAAAUAUACUUUUUAAAAUAUUCUUUUUGAAAGUCCUUUUUGGGAUGUUAACAUAGGUCAAUAACCUAAUGAUAAGACAUACGGUAUCUUAUCAGCUUCAUUUUCCCACGAUUUUGAAAACCCUGUGUGUCUCAAAAAUUGAUAAUUUCCAUUCUAAUACUUAAUUGCAUCGGACUUAACUUUGAUAUUAUUCAGUAUUCAUCAACUAUGAAGCGGCAAUAUCAAUUCAGUUUGUCUUAUUAUUUUGAUGUACUGUCAUACUCUCUGACAAGUUUUCAUGCAUCAUGUAAUUUAAAAUUAUUGUUUUUGAUGACUAGUUUUCUUCUGAUACUUUCGUGGUUAAUACCAGCUAUUAUGACAUCUAAGAUUUGAUUCGCUUUGUCAGUGUAUUCACACUCUUCACCUUCCAAUUUGAUGCGUGUAUAGAAUGAAUCAAUAGUUUCUCCCAGAUUUUGGGUUAACGUUCUGACCUUAAAUCUAGCCACUCUGAAAUUGGACUUCACACAUGCCUAAUAUCUUGGCUUCGUCUGUGCCAAGUCCAUGUAUAUCUACGAACUAUAACAAAAGGUAAUUUACCUUGACUUUCUCUUACAAAGAAGCCCAUUGAAAAUAAUCUAGGCAGUUCACUUGAUUGAACUUCAGUUGAUAUUUGGCUAAGUACGAUACGAUACGAUAGAACCUUAUUCUCACAAUGGUGUAAAUACAGCUAUGAGAUAUCUAUGGAUCCUUAAAUACACUCAUAUUAGUUAAUAUAGAAAAAUAAUUAAAAUACAUAAAAGUUACCUGAAAUCCAAUUAGUCAUUGAUGGGCUGAUUCCCAGUAUUGUAAGCCAUCAUAUCCCAAAUUCUGACACCAUAUUAUUAUAGUGAUCUCAAUUCUAUUAGUUCAUUACGUUACAUGUGAAAACAUGACAAUGUCGUCUUCUCUUGUUGUGCGUGGUUCAUCAAAUACUGCAACAUGUAUAUCCCAAUCUGAGACGCCUUUGACUAACGUAUCUUUAAUGUCUUCAUCAUGACAAGGGAUGCUCAUUUAGCACAGAUGAGUGCAUGUCCUUGAAAUCGUCCAGCAAAUGCUUGAAUAGAUUCAUUGUGAUCCUGAGUCAUCCCUAGUAACUCUGUCCUCAGUACCAUAUUUUCAUCCUUUACGGCAUGAAGUUUUAUAGCAGCUAGAGAUUGGUUCUCUAUUUUUUUCAUAUAUUAAACCUCCUAGGUCUUUACAUAGGGUGUCGUCUAGGCAUUUAGGCAACUGAAAUAUUACGUUAGAGGUCUCAAGCCUAGUUGCUGCCAUGUAUUCGGCCCAUUUGGCUUCAAAGAAGGCCUAAUAUGCAGACCCAGCACCUGUAUGACAUCUUUACCAAACGAGGAACUUAUAAAAUAAUGCUGUGUAUGUCUCCGUUUAUAAGCCAAUUUAGCGGUAAAACAACCCAAUAUGUGAAUGGGAUCUUUAGUACAAGUCUAUAUCUGUACAUGACAUAGCUGUAAACGCCUCUCUUACAAAAUAACGGUUGAACCAUUUAGCAUUGAGCAUGUGAUACGUCAGAAGCUGUAUCUACAAUGAAUGGCAAACUAUAAUACCAUUUAACCCAAUAUUGUAUGUUACAUUGUUAGACAUGGUGCAUUUGUCAUUGGUACUAGUAUUUACCUUAGCAUUAGUGGUUUCAUGAUCAUUGUUAAUUAUCAUCUGAACUAAAAAGUCAUGUUCUGCCUCACUAUUGUCCUGCACCUCUCCUUGCACGUGUGUUCCGCAAAAUCAGCACUGUUGCCCGCUUGACCUAAGUUUUAACCUCCCGCUUUGCUGAUUCUGCCUGCACUACCAUGCGUUGCAACGACACUAUUUUCUCAACUAGCUGUUCCGAAUCUUUUCCCAAAUAAAGAACCAACAUCACAAUUCUUGGGUAGUUCUUUUAAUUAAAUUAUAUAUGCCUCAACUGGCUCACCUGUUGCCUGAGCUCUUUGGCGAAAUGUGUAUCGUACACUGACCACGUUUAAUUUCAGGCUGAAAUGGUUAUGCAGCAAAGACAUGGUUUUUCGAUACACAUCCUCAUCUUGUCGUACAGAUGCCUCAGACAUAAUGCAGGACUAGUACGAUUACUGUUUAACGUGUAGAAGACACGCUGGCCGCCAGCGCUGAGGCUCGUUUAUCAAUAGUGCCUCUCGAUGGGCCGCAGCAACCGUCUAAAUAAAGAGCCAUGUCACAAACAACUCUUUCCAUGUCGUCCAUUUAAUGGGCGGUUCGCCUGGGUUUUGCAGGAAUGCUGGCGGAUCUGUGACAUGUAGUAUUGAUAUAAUUUUCCUAUUUUUGUACUGAAGUUAGUUUACCUCGUUGCUAACUGUAGUGUCUUACGAGACACAGUAAAUAAAUAUUCAUGUACUCGUUACUUCAUUCAACAUACAGCCUGUAGCUUUAUUCAUGCUCAUUUCCCAGCAACUGCCCUUUACUCUCAAGUUAACAGUAAAAGGUAUUCUCAGGUACCUGCUCUCAUGGAGUCAAGUCAUACAGUAUUAUCUAUUAUCAGUAUUGUCUUCUAGAUGACACAAUGAAUAACAAAAACACAACAAAUUUUGUGAAGGAAUGGUAGUAAUACUUUAAUGUUUAUGCUGUCAAUUAUAUACUGAAAUAUGUAGUUAAAUAAUUAUAUAGAAAACUAAAGUUCAAGAGAUUGCCAAAGGCAAACUAAUGUAU